GUAUAUUAUUUGUGAUGAUGGUUUCAUAUUUGCUUCCACAUUACAUGUUCAUUUCUGCUAAUAUUUUUGGUUCUUGUGCAUUUUGUUUGACUUGUUGUAUUUUAUAAACUGAUUAUUUAGGCUGGGUUGAUAUGUAAAGCUAGAAAUCAAUCGUCUAAUUGUCGACUAUUUUAACUGAUGCUUAUGAUUUUUUUUUUUAUCCUCUGCUAAGAGUUUUUAGUGGUUAAUUUUGUCACCAGUGGCUUUGAACUUAGAACCACAUAUAGUAGAUUGAACAGGAAUAUGAAUUGCAGCUUUUAGUUUAAUUUGUCUUUCUUUCUACUGUACAGAUUAUAAUGGCAAAACCAG
rnacentral:misc_RNA from 1 species